AUAAAGUACCAUUUUUUUGUCAUCAAAUCAAAAAUUUGUGGACGAAAAUCCAAAAAUCAAGAAUGGCAAAGUGGAGUGGCAUCAUUGCUGUUGUGUCUUUGACGGUGUUUUUGAUGUCAUUGACGGCGGCAACAGUGCUUCCAAUUCAUCCUUACUUGAAAGUUGAAGACACAUUCAUUUCUCAACUCUAUGAUACUUCCAACUAUGGUUUUCUUCAAAUUGACAAUGGCUUGGCUCGAACUCCUCAGAUG
rnacentral:misc_RNA from 1 species